CACGUAGGUGGCAAGCGUUAUCCGGAUUUAUUGGGCGUAAAGGGAACGCAGGCGGUCUUUUAAGUCUGAUGUGAAAGCCUUCGGCUUAACCGGAGUAGUGCAUUGGAAACUGGGAGACUUGAGUGCAGAAGAGGAGAGUGGAACUCCAUGUGUAGCGGUGGAAUGCGUAGAUAUAUGGAAGAACACCAGUGGCGAAAGCGGCUCUCUGGUCUGUAACUGACGCUGAGGUUCGAAAGCGUGGGUAGCAAACAGG
rnacentral:rRNA from 1 species